rnacentral:tRNA from 1 species
GAGGAUGUAGCUCAGUUGGUGGCAGCGCCAGGUUGUGGCCCUGGAGGUCGUGGGUUCGAGUCCCAUCAUUCUCCCCA